rnacentral:lncRNA from 1 species
AUUCUUUGCUAGAGCAAUCGCAGACUUGUUAUCCACAUAUAUCUCUGUAGCUUCCUUUUGAGAAAACUUAAGCUCGUUUAGUAACUUCCUGAGCCACACUGCAUGACAGGUGCACAAUGUUGCUGCUACAUAUUCAGCUUCACACGUUGACAGAGUCACAAUGGGUUGCUUCUUCGAACUCCAUGUGAGCGUCGUAUAUCCCAUAUAGAACACGAAACCACUCGUACUCUUACGAUCAUCAAUGUCUCCGGCCCAAUCACUAUCACUGUAUCCAACUAGCUUGAAGUGAUCAGAAGGUGAAUAAAAUAGACCAUAGUCAAUCGUACCUUUGCUGUAGCGAAGUAUCCUCUUUGCUGCCUUCAAAUGAUUUAUUGUAGGUGCUUCCAUAUAUCGACUUACUAGUCCAACUCCGUAGAGAAUAUCUGGCCUCGUGCAGGUUAGGUACCUCAGACUUCCAACCGGAAGGCGAAUAAAACAGACAAUAGUCAAUUGUACCUUUGAUGUAGCGAAGUAUCCUCUUUGAUGCCUUCAAGUGAUUUAUUGUAGGUGCUUUCAUAUAUCGACUUACUAGUCCAACUCCGUAGAGAAUAUCUGGCCUCGUGCAGGUUAGGUACCUCAGACUUCCAACCAAACUCUUGUAUUGUGUUGGGUGAUUUAUUGUAGGUGCUUUCAUAUAUCGACUUACUAGUCCAACUCCGUAGAGAAUAUCUGGCCUCGUGCAGGUUAGGUACCUCUGACUUCCAACUAAACUCUUGUAUUGUGUUGGGUCCACCAAGUAUCCUUCAUCAUCUUUUGACAACUUGAGGUUGCAAUCCACCGGUGUGUUCAGCGACUUGCAGUCAUUCAUCUUAAACUUCUUCAGCAUCUCCUUCGCAUAACGUUAUUGGGAUAUGAAUAUUCCUUCUUUCUUUUGUUUCACCUCGAUCCCAAGAUAGUAAGCCAUAAGUCCAAUGUCGGUCAUAUCAAACUCCCGAACCAUUGCUUUCUUGAACUCCUCGAACAUUUUGGGCCGGUGAAUAUCAAGUCAUCCACGUAUAGGCACAUAAGCAUAACAUCUCCAUCCUUGCUUACUUUGGUGUAGAGGGCAUGCUCAUGUGGGCAUUUUGUAAAGUCAUUCUGCUGGAAAUACUUGUCUAUUGUGCUAUUCCAUGCCCGAGCGCUUGCUUCAACCCGUAUAAGGCCUUUUUCAAUUUCAGCACCUUAUUCUCUUGGACUUUCACGAUGUAUCCCGAAGAUUGUUCUAUAUAGACUUCUUCUUCUAAGUGGCCAUUAAGGAACGCAGAUUUGACAUCCAUUUGAUAAAUCUUCCAAUUAUGCUGAGCCGCAAAUGAGAUCAUCAAUCUUAUAGUUUCUAGACGAGCGACAGGAGCAAAUACCUCGUCAUAGUCUAUGCCGGCUCGUUGACUAUAUCCCUUCGCCACCAACCAUGCCUUGUAUCUUUCAACUUCACCUUUGGAAUU